GAUGAACGCUGGCGGCGUGCCUAAUACAUGCAAGUCGAGCGAACAGACGAGGAGCUUGCUCCUCUGACGUUAGCGGCGGACGGGUGAGUAACACGUGGAUAACCUACCUAUAAGACUGGGAUAACUUCGGGAAACCGGAGCUAAUACCGGAUAAUAUAUUGAACCGCAUGGUUCAAUAGUGAAAGACGGUGUUGCUGUCACUUAUAGAUGGAUCCGCGCCGCAUUAGCUGGUUGGUAAGGUAACGGCUUACCAAGGCGACGAUGCGUAGCCGGCCUGAGGGGGUGACCGUCCACACUGGGACGGAGACACGGCACAGACUCCUACGGGAGGCAGCAGUGGGGAAUAGUGCACAAUGGGCGAAAGCCUGAUGCAGCAACGCCGCGUGAGGGACGACGGCCGUCGGGUUGUAAACCUCUUUUAGCAGGGAAGAAGCGAAAGUGACGGUACCUGCAGAAAAAGCGCCGGCUAACUACGUG
rnacentral:rRNA from 1 species